AGUGAACGCUGGCGGUAGGCCUAACACAUGCAAGUCGAACGGCAGCACAGUAAGAGCUUGCUCUUACGGGUGGCGAGUGGCGGACGGGUGAGGAAUACAUCGGAAUCUACUUUUUCGUGGGGGAUAACGUAGGGACACUUUCGCUAAUACCGCAUACGACCUACGGGUGAAAGCAGGAGAUCUUCGGACCUUGCGCGAUUGAAUGAGCCGAUGUCGGAUUAGCUAGUUGGCGGGGUAAAGGCCCACCAAGGCGACGAUCCGUAGCUGGUCUGAGAGGAUGAUCAGCCACACUGGAACUGAGACACGGUCCAGACUCCUACGGGAGGCAGCAGUGGGGAAUAUUGGACAAUGGGCGCAAGCCUGAUCCAGCCAUACCGCGUGGGUGAAGAAGGCCUUCGGGUUGUAAAGCCCUUUUGUUGGGAAAGAAAAGCAGCAGGUUAAUACCCCGCUGUUCUGACGGUACCCAAAGAAUAAGCACCGGCUAACUUCGUG
rnacentral:rRNA from 1 species